GACGAACGCUGGCGGCGUGCCUAAUACAUGCAAGUUGAGCGCUGAAGGUUGGUACUUGUACCGACUGGAUGAGCAGCGAACGGGUGAGUAACGCGUGGGGAAUCUGCCCUUGAGCGGGGGACAACAUUUGGAAACGAAUGCUGAUACCGCAUAAAAACUUUAAACACAAGUUUUAAGUUUGAAAGAUGCAAUUGCAUCACUCAAAGAUGAUCCCGCGUUGUAUUAGCUAGUUGGUGAGGUAAAGGCUCACCAAGGCGAUGAUACAUAGCCGACCUGAGAGGGUGAUCGGCCACAUUGGGACUGAGACACGGCCCAAACUCCUACGGGAGGCAGCAGUAGGGAAUCUUCGGCAAUGGACGAAAGUCUGACCGAGCAACGCCGCGUGAGUGAAGAAGGUUUUCGGAUCGUAAAACUCUGUUGGUAGAGAAGAACGUUGGUGAGAGUGGAAAGCGCAUCAAGUGACGGUAACUACCCAGAAAGGGACGGCUAACUACGU
rnacentral:rRNA from 1 species